rnacentral:lncRNA from 1 species
CGCCCCCGGAAAACGCGUCGUCCCCUGGGCUGGGUGGAGACCCCCGUCCCGCGAAACACCGGGCCCCGCGCAGCGUCCGGGCCUGACACCGCUCCGGCGGCUCGCCUCCUCUGCGCCCCCGCGCCACCGUCGCCCGCCCGCCCGGGCCCCUGCAGCCGCCCAGGUGCCAGCACGGAGCGCCUGGCGGUCAAAAGCAUACCUCUGUCUGUCUUUGCCCGCUUCCUGGCUAGACCUGCGCGCAGUGCGCACCCCGGGUGACGUGCAAGGGAGCUCGCUGGCCUCUCUGUGCCCUUGUUCGUCCGUGAAAUUCUGGCUGAAUCUCUCCCCCCACCUUCCGAGGCUGUCUAGGCAAACCUGGAUUAGAGUUACAUCUCCUGGAUGAUUAGUUCAGAGAUAUAUCAAAAUUCCCCCUCCCUGUGGAUCCUAUAGAGGAUUUGCAUCUUUUGUGUGAUCAGUGCAGAGAUAUGUCACAAUAUCCCCUGUAGAAAAAGCCUGAAAUUGAUUUACAUAACUUCGGUGAUCAGUGCAGAUGUGUUUCAGAACUCCAUAGUAGACUGAACCUAGAGAAUGGUUACAUCACUUAGGUGAUCAGUGUAGAGAUAUGUUAAAAUUCUCGUGUAGACAGAGCCUAGACAAUUGUUACAUCACCUAGUGAUCAGUGCAGGGAUAAGUCAUAAAGCCUCCUGUAGGCAGAGUGUAGGCAAGUGUUCCCUGCCUGGGCUGAUCAGUGCAGAGAUAUCUCACAAAGCCCCUAUAAGCCAAACCUUGACAAGGGUUACAUCACCUGUUUGAUCAGUGGAAAUAUAUAUCACAAAGCCCCCUGUAGACAAAGCCCAGACAAUUUUUACAUCUCCUGAGUGAGCAUUGGAGAGAUCUGUCACAAUGCCCCUGUAGGCAGAGCUGAGACAAGUGUUACAUCAUCUGGGUGAUCAGUGCAGAGAUAUGUCAAAACGCUCCUGUAGGCUGAACCUAGACAGGAGUUACAUCACCUGGGGGAUCAGUGCAGAGAUACGUGAGAAUUCCCUUGUAGGCAGGGCCUAGACAAGUGUUACAUCACCUAGCCUAGUUUAUCAGUGUAAUUAUUAGUCAUAAAGCCUCCUGUAGGCAGAGCGUAGACAAGAGUUCCCUCCUCAGGAUGAUCAGUGCAGAGAUGUGUCACAAAGCCCCUGUAGGCAGAGCCUAGACAAGAGUUUCAUCACUUGGUUGAUCAGUUCAGAGAUGUGUCAGAAUGUCCAUGUAGGCAGAUCUAAGACAAGCGUCCAUCACCUGGGUGAUCAGUGCAGAGAUAUGUACCAGUGUCCCCUGUAGGCAGUGCCUAGACAAGAGUUGAAUCACCUCAGAGAUCAGUGCAUAGAUAUGUCACAAAGCCUUCUGUAGGCAAAGCCCAUACAAGGUUUACAUCACCUAGGUGAUCAGUGCAGUGAUAUGUCACAAAAAUCCCUGUAGACAGAGCCUAGACAAGAGUUACUUCACCUGGGUGAUCAGUGCAGAUAUUUGACACAAUGCCCCCAUAGACAGAGCCUAGGCAAGACUUCCAUCACCUGGGUGAUCAGUGCAGAGAUAUGUCACAAAUCCCCCUCUAGGCAGAGUAUAGAGAAGAGUCCCAUCACCUGGGUGAUCAGUGCAGAGAUAUUUCACAAUGCCCCCUGUAGGCAGAGAGUGGACAAGAGUUACAUCACCUAGAUGAUCUGUGCAGAGCUAUGUCAAAACGCCCCUGUAGGCAGAGCCUAGAUGAGUGUUACAUCACCUGGGUGAUCAUUGCAGAGAUACGUCACAAUACCCCCUGUAGGUGGGGCCUAGACAAGAGUUACAUCACCUGGGUGAUCAGUACAGAAAUAUGUCACAAAGCCCCUGUAGGCAGAGCCUAGACAAGAGUUACAUCACCUGGGUUAUCAGUGCAGAAAUAUGUCACAAAGCCCCUGUAGGUCGAGUCUAGACAAGAGUUACAUCUCCUGGGUGAUCAGUGCAAAGAUAUGUCACAAAGCCCCCUGUAGACAAAUCCCAGAAAAUUGUUACAUCACCUGGGUGAUCAGUGGAGAUAUGUGUCACAAUUCCCCUUUAGGCACAGCUUAGACAAGCGUUACAUCACAUGAGUGAUCAUUGCAGAGUUAUGUCACUAUGCCCCCAUAGGCAGAUCCAAGACAAGAGUCCAUCACCUGGGUGAUCAGUGCAGAAAUAUGCCACAAUGCCGCCAGUAGGCAGAUAUAGACAAGAGUUACAUCACCUGCGUGAUCACUGCAGAGAUAUAUCACAAUGCCCCUGUAGGCAGAGCCUAGACAAGAGUCCCAUCACCUGGGUGAUCAGUGCAGAGUUAUGUCACAAUGCCCC